CCGAGCACGCGCCAAGCCAGGCCCGCAGCCGGAAGUAAAGGGGCGGCAACCGGGCCUACUUGCAUCACUUCCGUGAGAGCGCGAGGUUCGGUUCCUGGGCGUCGCGCUACCGUAGGGGGGCGGACGCGAGUUGACUGAGUUACUCCGGCUGCAGUCGGAGUGAUUUUCUUGGGACACAUUCCUCUUUUUCCGUUCUCCUCCCGGUUUGUGUGAGGCCUGCUGACAACUCUUUCUCACUCUGACACGAAAGAAAUCGAGAAAGCGCCUUGAGGCGGGAGAGGAGCCCCGUCAGCCGAGCCGUGGAGCCGUCCGUUCCCCCGGGCCCGCCUUCGGAAGGCCGCGUGGGGCUGUGGGGAGAACGCGGGUCUGGAGUCUCGCAGGUCUGCCCGGGAACCUGGCUCCACCACCCACCUACUGUGUGACUUCGGACGAACCACUUAACGCUUCCGAGCUCCAGUCUCCUCAAACGCGAGGAGAACGGUCGUGCCUCCUCACAGGGGGCCGAGGACUCUGAAGUAACACAAGGGACGUCGGGCACGUCGCUAAGCGGUGCGAGGGGCCGAGAGAUGAACCGACUCAGUCUCUUAGGAGCUCCGGUCUCCCAGAGGCGGGAAAUAAGAGCAUAGACAAGUAAGUGUGGAGAUUGGAUAACGGGCACGGUGGAAUACUGUAGAAAGCUUCCUUCCCUCCUCAGGUCCCCAUCUGCCUCCUGGCAUCCCCGGAGGUAACCUGUGUUACCAGUUUUUCCAGUGACCUUCCAGAGAUGUCCUAGGCAUAUUGUGGAAAUAUCGAUGCUUUUUAUAGAUCGUUGGAUUUAAAUUUCAUCUUUUUUCCCCCCUUACUUCCUUUUUCCUCGUACUGUAUCUUGGAGAUUGUUCCCAGUCACUCAUCUGUUUUAAUGGCUGCAGGGCAUUCCACCAUGUAGAUAUACUGUAGUUCAUGUAGUUAUCUUUUGAUGGAUAUUCGAGAUGGUUCCGGUCUUUCUUACAACCAGCUAAGUAAGAUUUUUGAGAGAUGAAAGAAUGGAAGUAGAAGGCUUUCCAUGUCAACUGUUUUGAAAAAAUGCUCCUUUCCUAUUUCCGAAGCUGGAAAAAGAGAUAUUCUGCUACUAAUCUCUAAUAAUGGUUUGUCUUUAAUCCAGCUUUUUGAAGAAAUGUUCUUAAAUCUUUGGCACCUAUUUCUGUUUGUCUAUUCUAGAAUCUAUUAUAAAAUGGAAUUAGAUUUAGCACAGAACAAUGAAUUUUUACAUUAGGUUUGAUGUAUUAACAUUUUCUAGUAUUCUUAAAACAGUAUUGGGGCUGUAGGAUGCUCUGUCACCUGAAUAAGUUUAAGAACCAGACUUCUAGGCCAGGGAAACCAAAUGAAUUCAGGUGAAAGAACUUGGAGGUGUUUGAAAGCAAUAAGUGGCUGGAGCAGGGAUAUGCAGAGGGGAGGGACAGGAGGUGAAGCUAGAAUGAUAGGUCAGGAAUUAAUUCAUUAUCAAGCUGAAGGUUUAUACUUACUUUGGAGAAAUCAUGGCGACACAAGAGGGUGUGUGUGUGUGUGUGUGUGUUUUGGUGGCACAGUGGUUAAGAGCUUGGCAGCAGUUCAAAUCCACCAGCCACUCCUUGGAAACCUUAUGAGACAGUUCUACUCUGUCCUAUAGGGUUGCUGUGAGUCAGAAUUGACUUGAAGGUAACAAAUUUUGGUUUGGUGGCAAAUAUGUAGAUAACAAAAUAUUUGCCGUUUCAACAGUCUUCAUAUGUACAGUUCAGUGACAGUAAAUCUAUUAAGUUGUUCAGUUAUCACCAUUAACCCUUUCUAGUUUCUCAGUCAUGCUUAACAGAAGCUCAGACACAAAGGUUUUGAACUGACGAUAAGGAAGAAAAGAAGGGGGUGUUCAGUUACACUUUAGGAGUUAUUAAUCUGACAGUGGUAUUGUGGUUCUUUUAAAGAUACGACGGCAUAUGUCUACAAUUUCUUUGAUACUUUUUUUUAAAGCAGUGUAGUUUAAUUCCCUCUCCUUGAGUUAGUGACUUGCUUCUACCAAAUAAACUGUAGCAGAAGUGAUAGAAAAUAGGAUGUCACUUAAAAGACUAGGUUACAAAAAGAUUGCAGUUUACACGUUCUCUUUUUUUCCUACCUUUCUCCUUUCAUCCCUCCCUCAAGUCACUUGGUCUGGGUGAAGCCAGCUAUUCUGUUGUGGAGGAUACUCAGGCAGCUCAUGGAGAAGUCUAUGUAGCAAGGAAACCAGCAACCAUAUGAGUGAAUAUGGAAGCGGAUCCUCUCCCAGUCAAAUCUUGAGGUGACUGUAAUCUCAUGAGAGACCCUGAGCCAGAACCAUCCAGCUAAGCUGCUCCCAGAUUCCUGACUCACAAAAACUAUUAGAUAAUAAAUGCUUGUUGUUUUAAACCACUAAGUUUGGGGUAAAUUGUUUUCCAUCAAUAGAUAACUAAUGCAGAUUUAUAGACUUCCCAUCUUCAAACCUAUAUCUCCAACUGUCUAAAGGACUUCUCAGAAGUUCUACAAGGACCUCACGCACAAGUUCAAGUCAUGAACUCAUCAUCUUCCCCUCAAAGCUGCACCUUUUCCCAUGUUUUCUUUGAGCUGCCUAGUUGUCCAGGCCAGAAUGAGUCAUCCUUGCCUCCUCAUCCCCCAUAUAUAGUCAAUAAAGUCUUGACGUUCAUAUGUUUUAAAUGUGCACUUAUCCAAUUCUUUUUAUCCCUGCCACCCUGUAGGGCAGGCUAUCGUGUAUAUAUAUAUAUAUAUAUUUUUUUUUGCUUAGAUCACUGCAGCAGCCUCCCAACUUGUCUUACCUCCAAUUUUGCACCUUAUAGUCCAUUCUCCACCCUUCAGCUGGAAUGAUCUCUGAAAUGCAAAUCCGAUCAUAUCAAACCUGAUCGUGCUUAACCACAUUCACUGGAUUCUUACUCUCUUUAGGAACAGUUUAAGGCACUAAUUCCUUAAUUCGCCUUAGAUAUAUCCUAGUUUGCAUCCGUUGUCUGGUGUCCUUUCUGAUUUAGCCUUUGUCCUAGACAAAAGUUUCUCAGUUUGAAAAUAAAUUAUAUGGUCACCUUUGCAGGCCAGGCACUUUUCAUCUGGUUCUGCCCUUAUUACCUCCCCAUAUUCAUACCCUACUGCUCACCUUUUGUCUUUACGUUGUAGUUUUAACUAUGCAGUUCCCACAUGUCUUCAGACCUUCUGACACACUGUUACUUCUGGAACACUGCCACCUUCUUGCACUUCCACCCCUAAAUACACUUACUUAUCCUUCUGAUUUCUGCUUAGAGUUACUUCUGGAAAAUUCUAGCUUAGGUUCUCCCCACUCCCCAAAACAUUUAAAAUUUUUCUACCAUUAUUUGGCUUUCCCCAGUUUGAGGAUAAACUCUGAGAGGGCAGGGACUCUAUGAUACGUUCACCAUUGUAUCCUUAGCACCUAGCCCAUAUAUAGCAUAGUAUUUGUGUAAUGAAUGAAUAAUACAUUGGAAUGGCUGAGACAGGGCUUAGGGAUAGAGCAGUGGCAACUAUGGUGGUUUUCUAGAUAUUGAGGUCUGAUGGCAGUGAGGACAAAAUACCUGUAAGACUUGAUCAAAAGCCGAAUAUACGAAGAGGAGAAUUCAAAGAUUACUCCCAAAUUCUUGAGCCUGAAUAACUGGGCAUAUGGAUGGUGUUUAAAUUUGGAGGGAAAGAUAUGAUAUUUAUUCUCAACAUUUUAAGUUCCAGUGUACAUCAAAAUGAAUCUGGGAGUGUUUCUGAACUGCAGAAGGAAUUUGGAAGUCAUCUUCAUAAACGUGCUGGUUAAAGCUGUGGAAAUAAAUGAGACUACAAAGAGAUACAGAGAAAGAUUCAGGCUGUGGAGAAGCCCUCCGUUAGGGAAAAGGAAGGGAAAGAGCCAAUAAAAGAGAUGUGUUGAUAGGAAGAUGCUGCAGUCGUUGAAACUGGUUGCAUAUGCCAAGAAUUGUAAAAAUUUCUAUUGUGAGAACUACAAAGACAUUAUUAUUGGUAUCUACCCUUUGUAGUAUAGUGCCUAUAUGUGUUUGAUGCCCAAAGACAACACAGUUGUUCUUUCAAUAACCCGCAUAAAGUACAGAUGUUUGAUUGGCGGGAUGGGAGACCUAGUCAUUUAAGACUACAAAAUUGUGGUUAAUUACUGGGAGAAAAUACUGAAGUUGUCAAGAAUUUCAUUUACUUGGCACCACAAUCAACACUCAUGGAAGCAGCAGUCAAGAAAUCAAACGACAUAUUGUAUUGGGUGAAUCUGCUACAAAAGACCUCUUUAAAGUGUUUAAAAAAAAAGAAAAAAAGCAAA